rnacentral:rRNA from 1 species
UGGGGAAUAUUGCACAAUGGGCGCAAGCCUGAUGCAGCCAUGCCGCGUGUAUGAAGAAGGCCUUCGGGUUGUAAAGUACUUUCAGCGGGGAGGAAGGCGAUAAGGUUAAUAACCUUGUCGAUUGACGUUACCCGCAGAAGAAGCACCGGCUAACUCCGUGCCAGCAGCGGCGGUAAUACGGAGGGUGCAAGCGUUAAUAGGAAUUACUGGGCGUAAAGCGCACGCAGGCGGUCUGUCAAGUCGGAUGUGAAAUCCCCGGGCUCAACCUGGGAACUGCAUUCGAAACUGGCAGGCUAGAGUCUUGUAGAGGGGGGUAGAAUUCCAGGUGUAGCGGUGAAAUGCGUAGAGAUCUGGAGGAAUACCGGUGGCGAAGGCGGCCCCCUGGACAAAGACUGACGCUCAGGUGCGAAAGCGUGGGGAGCAAACA